rnacentral:lncRNA from 10 species
GCUUGGGUCCCCUUCUCCACUGUGGAAGCUUUGUUCUUUUGCUCUUUGCAAUAAAUCUUGCUACUGCUCACUCUUUGGGUCCACGCUGCUUUUAUGAGCUGUAACACUCACCAUGAAGAUCUGCAGCUUCGCUCCUGAGCCAGCGAGACCACGAACCUACCAGAAGGAAGAAACUCCGAACACAUCUGAAUAUCAGAAGGGACAGACUCCAGACGCGCCACCUUAAGAGCUGUAACACUCACCGCGAGGGUCUGCGGCUUCAUUCUUGAAGUCAGUGAGACCAAGAACCCACCAAUUCCGGACACACUAACCUUGGUAUCUGAAAUGUUAUCUUGUUUGGAAAUAGGGUUUCUGCAAAUGUAAUCAAAUUAAGAUGAGGUCAUGCUUGAGUACGGUCGCCCUUAAUCCAACAUGACUGGUAUCUGUAAGAAGAGAGAAAUGCCAAAUGAAUGUGGAGACACACACAGGAAUACCAGGUGACAACAGAAGCAGAUAUUGAAGAGAUGCAGCUGCAAGCCAAGAAACACUAAGGAUUGGAGGCCACCUGCAGAAACUAGAAAAAGAGUCUAGCCCUGUCGCCCAGGCUGGAGUGCCAUGGUUUGAACUCUACUCACCGCAACCUCCACCUCCCAGGUUCAAAUGAUUCUCCUGCCUCAGCCUCCUGAAUAUCUGGGAUUACAGGUGCCUGCCACUACACUCAGCUAAUUUUUGUAUUUUUAGUAGAGACAGGGUUUCACCAUGGUGGCCAGGCUGGUCUUGAACUCCUGACCUUGUGAUCUGCCCAUCUCGUGCUGGUAUUACAGGCGUGAGCCACUGCGCCCAGCCUAAAAUAAUUUUCAGUGAGUUAUAAGAAAACAGCUGCAUUCUGUUCUGUUUUUAGGCCUGGCCAGAGAAUACCAGGAGACUGUAAGAUGUCAUGGUACAUCAAGUCAGUCUCAAGUGUCCUAUAACCCUGGCUUGCCAUCAGCUUAGAAUGUUCUCUUUUUCUACUGACCUGCCUUCCAUCUGUGGUCUCUUCCUUCCGUCUGCUAUUUAUCAUGUACUUAUUGAUGUGUGUCCCAGAAUGUUCAGAAUCAUCUGAUUUAAAAGAUUCUGUCCCAUUUUCAGUAAAAGUAGCCCAAUAUUUUGUUGAGAAAACACAGUGACUGUGCAUAUACCUACCUACUCAUUAAGGUAUCACUUGUUGGUCACCUAGAGUAUAAAUUCAUGGCGUGGAUAUGACCUUGGUAUGAGCCUGUUCUAUACUGAUUUUGUCCCUCAUUGGGGAAAGACACUAGGAGGAUGUGUGUAUAGUGAAUAGAGGUACAGAUUGGGCACAGGCAGACUCUUUCUUGAAUCUAUUUCAUCAAUUAGUGGAUUUUUUUUCUCCUAGCCAAGUUAUUUAGCCUCUUCCUAUAUGAAAUACUCCUUCUUUUCAUCUGUUUUUGUUUUUAAAUGAGAUGACAAUUCAUGACUAGUCUUGGUCCCCUUAACACUUAGUGAGUGCUCAACAAAUGGUAGGAAUUAUUAUGGAUAACAAUAAUUAGUGUAAGUUCAAUAUGUAAAUAAAACUGCCUUUUGUUCACUAUCACAUCGCUUGUCUCAUCGGGUCUCAUCAUGAAAUAUUGGUCAUCAUUACUAUGAGAUCCAUCUAUGGUUAAUAUUACUAGUGUGACCCUAAAAUAGGAUUCAUCAACUAGGUAUGAUCAUCCGUCUAUUCUUUCCUUAAAUACAUUGAGCAAAAUCUUCAGGGGCAGCUGUAUUUUUUAACUGCACAUGCUACAGGGAUUCUGAAGUGAAACAUGGUGAAGAACCACCCAAUCAGACAUUUGAAUGGGGACUGACAGUCUUAAGUCUAAAGAAAUUUCCUCUUCCUUCAUAGUAAUUAGCAAGAAACUUCUACAAAAGUUACAAUGCCAAUUACUGGAAACGCGCAUAUCAGGAGUUCCAUGGAGGACCAUUUCCAAGCAGUAGACAUCAUGCAUCAAUCUGCUUUUUGAAAUCCAGACUGAUUUUCCAAAUCAUUUUUAAAUAAGAGGCCUCAAGCCGUAUGUAAGAAACAAGAAAAUUUGUGCCUUAAGAGCAACUAUCAACUUAAAUCAAAGAGGGGUAAGAGUCAUGCAAGGUCAAAAACGUUGGGAUGAUUGGUAUUAAACUCUGGUGGAAGAAGCUCCCUGAAUGCCUCCCUGACAUCAGUCAUACAGGUCAGGAAGCAAACACCUUUCCUCUUGUUUCCUAACUGCCCUUUUUACCCAUUUCAUAGCACACACUUACUCCGGUCACCAAACUGGUUACCAUCCUCCUGUGUUCUGUUUUUGUAAGAGGGCAUUUAUUUGGCCCUAGUUACCCAAGAAAAGGCAAUUAGUCUUGACAACUGCUGCAAAGAGAAAAGACGAGAUGAUGGAAACAUUCAACACUUAAAAAUCCUUAGAUUUCAAGCAUUGGGGUUUCUGCCCCUAUAGAUUUCUGGGAGUUUGGGACAAUUAAAAUAUAUCUUUUAUUUUUUUAAAAAAAUAUAUAUAAAUGAAUGCUAAAACAACUCUUAAAAGGAAAUUGCUUUAUAUAGUCUGGCUAUGAUCAGCAAAACUGGUAUUCAUAUUUACAUUUGUUUAUUAUAUCAGUGAGGUUUGAGAAUCAUUUAAAAGAAUUGUGUUCUAAUUCAACCUAAAUUCCCUUCCUGUUAAUCUGAGCCAAAUGUCCCAAACACAGACAUGGCAGUUUUUAAAUCUCUGAAAACUAUUUAAAAACUAAUAUUAAAAAUAUAGUUUUAAAAUAUAUUGCAUAUACCUGUAUACUUAGGUAUGAAGAAAUUUCCUCUUCCUUCAUGGUAAUUAGCAAGAAACUUCUAUAAAAGUUACAAUGCCAAUUAUUAGAAACAUGCAUAUCAGGUGUCCCACGUAGGACUAUUUCCAAGCAGUAGAGAUUAUGCAUCAAUCUGCUUUUUGAAAUCCAGACUGAUUUUCCAAAACACUUUUAAAUAAGAGGCCUCAAGCCAUAUAUAAGAAACAAGAAAAGUUGUGUAUAUUUGUAUACAGGUAUAUACGAGUGCCCGUAUAUGCAAGCUGAGGUGGAGAAAUUGAAGACACAGAUUAUGUAAGCCAUUAACUCUUUAGGGGAGCAAGCUCUGAUGUUCCCACUUGAAGACGGGAGAGGGGAGUCCUCUCAUGCUUGCGUCUCACUGUAACUUUUAUGCUUUUGUCUGUGGGUGUGUUUGUUCAGUGCUUAGACUGAACAACAGUGACCUCUUUGAAACAAGAGGAUAUACAGUUCACGUGCCACAUAAUGACUUUCAGUCAAUGACAGACUGCAUAUAUAAAAAGCACAUUCUAAUAGGACCUUUGAUAAUCGUUUUGUCUUCUUGACUAUCAUCUUCUCUAGGAGAAAGUCUUCCCUGAUACUCUGCCCCCUGCCUCCACACAUACACAUACACAAACACUCAGAUAUAUCUCUACCACACAUACUCCUGGCUAGGCUAAGUGCACCCUUUUCUUUUUCUUUUUCUUUUUCUUUUUCUUUUUCUGAGACAAGGCCUUGCUCUGUUGCCUAGUCUGGAGUGAAGUGGCCUGAUCAUAGCUUACUGCAGCCUCCAACUUCUGGGCUCAGGCGAUCCUCCCACCUCAAUUUCCCAAGUAAUUGGGACUACAGGCAUGCACAAACAUGGCUGGCUAAUUAUUUUUAUUAUUAUUAUAAGUAGAGAUGGGGUCUCACUAUGGUGCCCAGGUCGAUCUCAAAGUCCUGGGCUCAAGCAACCCUCAUGCCUUGGCCUCUCAAAGUGCUAGGAUUACAGGCAUGAGCUAUCAUGUCCAGCCUAGCUACCCCUUUUCUAUACUUUCCUAGCAUCAUGUGUGGGUCUUUCUCAUACUAUCUACAGCACACUGUGAUUGUGUAUUUACCCAUAUUUCUCCCAAAUGACUAUAAACACCUCAAGGGAAAGGAUUAUAGCUUAUUCAUAUUUGAAUCCUUAGUAUUUAUGACAAUGCUUGGCUCAUAAUAAGCUCUCAAGAGAUAUUCAUUCCAUUGAAUUGAAAUGACUUCCACUUGGGUUUCACAGUAGAAUACUCAUUACUCAUCAGACUUACUCAGGGGACAAGUCUCUGGCCUCAUUUUCAUUUGCAUCUUGGCCAUGAUUUUGCCUACUGUCAAUCACCAUGAAGUACAGAAAAGCAAACUGAGCUAUGGUGAGCCAAAUUAACUGGACCUAAGAUGACCUCAUCAGCAAAGCGCCCUAAGCAAUCAAGCAAUCGGGUCAGCUAGUUGCAGCCUAUAGUUAUCGUGGAAAACUGGUUGCUACUUUGAUCUCAGCUCACCUUGCCAAAUACUCCUUUUGUUUGAAAGAUAGUCAUAACAAGUACAAAACAACACUGAGUGAAUAUUUUUAAUAUUAUAAGCACCUAGAUAAAUUUAAUUUCUAUUUCCAUUAAUGAUCUGAAUAACCUAAAUUCUUCUAAUACCUAUAUUUGUCCAAUUUUAAGGUAUUCUGACUUAGGCAGAAAUUGGGCAAUUAUCUGAUUAAUUCAGGCCAAUAUUUUUAACACUGGAUUUCUGCAUCACAAGAAUUGUUAAUUUAUUCUUAUAUCCUCAUUCCUGGUACACAAUGGGUGCUCAGAAGUAGCUAGGAUUUACUGAGAGCUUACUAUAUGCUAAACUGUACAACAAUGUGUUAUCUUACAUUAAGUCUCACAAAAAUUAAAACUCUCAAAAAACUUCGCACUAAUUGUUUGAGAUAGAUGAGAUUACAAUCUGAGUCUUAAGAAGGUUAAGUAACCCACCCAAGGUCGAAUUAAGAACUUGAGCUAUCUUUUUAAUCACUACUCUAUAUAGACAUUUGUUGAAUAAAUGGUCAGAUGCAUUUUGAUCAAGCCUAUGCUUAUUUGAAAUAUCACAUGCUUUUUUGAACUUUAUAGAUAUAUAUUAACCAUUUGGAAAAAUGUAAGAACAAAAUCUCAUGGAAAAUGUAAAUUUCAAUCUUGCAAACUAAACAUUCGAUUUAUACACUUUCAGGAUUUACUCUGUUGUGUGAAUAUGCGUACUUUAGAAUAAAACUGGUAUCAUACUAUACAAUGAAUAUCAAGUUUUAAUUCAAUAAUGUUUAAUGAAUAAUUCCCUAUGUCAUUAAUAAUCCUCUUAUGAGUAUUAUUUUAAAAGAUACAUUAUUUUACUUCAAGAAAAUUUUAUGAUUUGUAUAAUAGAACUAUAGCUUUUGGACAUUUUGGCUACUUAUAACUUUUAGUGCUUUGAUAAUAUCAUUACAAACAUCAUUACACAUAUAUUUUAUAAUUUUUAAGAAACAAAUAUGUUCUUAAAUUUGUUUUUUAAGGAAAAUUAUUAUUGGUUGAAUGAUUACAUCAAAGGGAAAUGGAUUAUUUUCAUAUGUAAUUUCAUGCUACCUCCAACAAAGGUUUUAUCCUGAUUAUAUUGUAGACCUGAAUUCAUUUAAAUUUAUGCUGAUUUUUUUAACUUUAGAGACAUAUUGCUCAUAUUCAAGUACAUUUUAAUUCAUGUUAUAAGUAUAUGACAACAUAAACAUGUUUUGACAUCCUCUACUGAAUAUAUUCUUUUUACACCACUAAGCAUUUUUAAAAUUUAGUUUUUUAUAAAAAGGACAGAUAGGCAGGCAGGCAGAGAGAGACAGAGACAGAGAUGACAAGCAUAAACAAGGAAUUGUAGCUGUGGUCUAACAGAUUACACAUUUUUAAGCACCUAAAUUUAGAAAAUUAGGUGGUAUACUUUAUUAUUGAUCAUUUGGGGUCAAACUAGCUAAUCUGGCAACUUAAUUUUCCUAGGGAUUUAUUUGAUGUAAAAAUAUGGUCUGAUCGUUCUUCAGUGGUUCUUUCCUUUUAGGAGUCUUGCUCAUGAGAACCUGUCUUAAAACUUUUACUGCUUGAAAUAUGUAGAAAGUCCAAGGGUAAAGGAGAGUGGAAUUUGUUGUUGUUUACUAUGAAGAAUUAUCAUUGAGUCAGUUCACCUUUGGCUGGCAUCUGGGGAAAGUUUGCCUGCACGACAUGAUUAACAGCUAAAAUAUUCUUACGGCCUUUAUCUCAGCAGUCUAGAAGGUUCGAAUGAAAAGAACAUUAUCCAUAGAGGAAGUAGGAGGUAAACAUUCCUAACAAAAAUGGACACUCAAUAAAUACAUGUUAAAUAAAAGAAUAAACAAAUACGUUCAAGUCGAUUCUAGUUGUGCAGUGGUAACCCUUGUCGUAUUGGAACAGUAAUGCACAUGGACCAUGAGUCCUUGUAUUCUUCUUGAGCCAGCUUGGUGAACUUGGUCAAACCACUGACACUCAAUUGCUUCACUGGUAAAACAAAGCCAAUAGCAUCCGCUAUACUUAUCCAUUAGAUUUUUUAUCCAUUAGAUUUUUUAAUAUAUAUGAAUACAAUUUAUGAAAGUACUGUAUACUAUGUACUUAGUAUAUACUUAAUUAGUAUGAAAAUAAAGUAAAAAUACCAUAGAAAAUUAGAGGUUUAUGAAUUGCUAAUACAUGAGAUAUUUACUAGGGUGUAUAUUUACUAUGUCUUCUAAAAGUAUAAGUUUGGUAAGCAGAAAUCUCUUAGGGUUUAGCAUUUCUUUAACUGAUAGCAAAAAUUUUGAAUGUUAACUAUUUAAGUGUAUCUACAGUGACUUUCCUUUUCUUCAUGAUAUUGCCUUGUUUAUCCCUUUGAUUUAUCCUCAUGUCCCACUGAAGCAAGCUAUGCACCUUAAUGCCAUCUUGUUUAUGGGGACUAAUAAAAGAAAAUUGUCUGCAAUGGGAGAUCUGCUUUAUUUACAUGCAAAUUAAAACUAUAUUCCUUCGGUUACAGGCCAAAGAUUAUUAAUGCAUGAUGUGUAACAAUUUCAGGCAAAGCCUAGGAAGAGAGAGAAUGCCGAAAGACUUCUAAUGUAUGGAGUUUAAACAUCAGAUGGUGAUUGAUUGCUAUUAAUUUAUGUCAGCAAAGGAGGAGAAGAAAUACGUAAAACUGCCUCUGAAGAAUUUACAUUAAACACCAAAAGAAUCUGACUCUGAAAAUGAAGAAACAAGGAAUAUUGUUUGUUUUGGGAAUCAAAAAAAAAAAAAACUUCCCAUUUGAGUACACAAUUUCCUAAACAAGAUACAUGAUAAUUCCAUACACUAUGCUUUCCGAAGAAACUUUGUAAAACGUAUUUUCAUUAUUCAAAACUUGAAAACACAGAAACAAUAUGAUGCAAAAAAUUAUCUUUAGCAUUAUUCCACUAAGAUAAUUCAUUUUAACAUCCAUAUAUUCAUUAUUAUGUAAAAUACCUAUCAGUAUGUGGGUAUAUCUUUGUGUGUAUAUUUUAACAAAACAAAAUUCAAUAAAAAUUGAAAUACAGAAAUGACAAAAACACACAAAAAAUAUAAAUUAUUUCCAUUGUAGCAUAUAUUACCUUUUUCACCUAACAUUAUACUGUAGGAAUAUAUUCUUUCAUCAUUCAAUGCUUUUGAAAAUAUAAUAAUAUUCCAUUUUAAGGACAUGCUAUAAUUUAGUUCAUUAGUUUUUAAACUUUUAGAUUAUCUCAUUUUGUCAUCAUUUAAAAAAAGUGUUCCUGGAUGUCCUUUUGCAUAGACUUUUGAAUGUAUUUCUGACUAUUUUCUUAACCUGUCCUGUACUUCUGCAAGUAGAACUGCUUGAGCAGAGAUUAGGAGCAAUUUUAAGGUUUUUCAAAAAUCUUGACAAACUAUUCUGCAGGAAAAAUGUAUCUUGUUACCAUCAGCAUUUUUAAGUAACUAGUGACUAAUUGUAAAAAUAAUUGUGUUUCCUUGUAUUUAAGCCUUGCGCUAUAGAUUUUAAAAAUUUGUCCUUUUUUUUUUUUCAUUUGUAAAAAAAAGCCAUCUAAAAGACCUUAGAACCUGGUAUCAGCUGAAGCUUACUAAACCAUAUCAAGAAGAUCAUGUCAUUCUCAAGAAAAGCAUGUUUCAAAUAAAAAGGAAAUGUCAGCCCUGAGCGUUUUUAUUAACCAUCUCCCCAUCUGACUUCAGAGACAGCUUUAGCUGACCACUUCCUCUCUCGGGUUUAUUUGUAUUAGAAAUAAGUGGAUUCAUUAACUGUGCCACUUGGUGGUCAGGCCAGGCCUGCCAGUGUCCAAUAACAGGUAAUGGUUGUAUUUUUCACGGGGUGACUGAUGUUUACUUUGUUGAUGGCCCCAGGAGCUCAUGUAAUCUGAGAUAGGUCUUUGUUUACUUCUUGUUUUACUGAUAUGCUGACCCAUUUGAAACUAGCGAGAAAGAAAAAUAAACAUUCUGGAAUAUGGUACCUGAAGUCACUCUUCCUUAGUGGCUUUAUUGUAACCUCUUCAAAGGCUUUUGUUAACCCACUCUUUUCCCAGCAAAAAACCCUGAUCUGGUCUCUUUUCCAAUUAAACCAAAAGCAAUAUCACACCAAAUAAGCAAACAGAAAAUAUUGAAAUUACCACUUAAAGAGAGUUUUAUCUGGGGUUUAAUUGUGUGUGUACUCAAGCGUUUAGUGUAGGUCAUUUGCUAAUGACAUCUAGUAAUUUUUAAAAACUGGAUAAAACUGAUACUGAGCCUGUCUACAGCAAUUUAACUAUUUUGGGGGAGUAUAAAGUUAGAUUUGUCUAUACUGACUUGUUUGCUCCAUUUUAAAAACUGUGUUGGAAUGAUUUAUUAUGGAUGAUCCAAAAUAAACGUGAAGUGAGGAAACUAUUUUUUAAUUACCACUGGUAGCAUAUUUAAUGGAAUUGUGUUAUUGUGCCAGAAACCUUAUUGAGCUAUAUUUGUUCUAUUAUCUUACUCAUCAGCACAGCAAAAGUUCAUAUUUCAAGGGUGAAGGAAGUGAGGCAUAGAGAGGUUAAAUAAUUCCCCAAAGGCAGAGGGCCGCCAAUUGGUGAAUGUCAGACAUAAUCCCACGCCUGCCUGAGGCCGGAGUCCAUAUUCUUAACAGACAUCCUCUUUUGUCUCCUUAUUUCAUGAUGCCAAAUAUGCAUGACGCUGAUAUAAAGCGUAUAUAUUGGAAUCUGUAUAUUCAAAUGAGCGAUGUCCAUUCAGUCAAACUGGAAGUAUGCCAAUUACCUUCCUAUAUUCAACACUUAGCUCAGAGAUGAUGAGGCACUUCACAGUUGUUUAAUUGCACUGAGCACCCACCCCACAAGCCCAUUUUACUUCUGUUCAAACCAGGUUUGCUAUUCUAAUUUUGGAAUUAUGUUCAUUUGCAAUCUGAGUCACAAGAGUAAAUAAACUUUAUCAGUAUAUCUUUAAAAUUAUGUAUACAUUUAUAAUGUAUUUAUGUAUAGAAAUAUAUAAACACAUUUAUAUAAACACACACAUAUCUCUAUAAAUCCACAUAUUUACACUUGACUACUAAAAAUUAGUUACAAUAUUUGUCUCUUCUAUGUGUUUUCAAAAGUUAUAUUUAAUCCCAAAGAAUUACCAUGAUGAUGUAUGACAGAUUCAAAAAGGAGAUUCAACAGAAUUUGAGGAAUUGUAACACAGUUAGAAAAACAUAGCCCCAAAGCAAACACUUUUAGGGAAUAUUCUUUAUAUUAAGUAUGAGUAUUAAAAAAUUUGAUUAGAAGUGUUUAUAUAUUACUUUAUACUUGUGUAUAUUACAUCCACACCCUGUAUACAUAAUAUAGUUAAUAUAUAUGUGUAUACAUCAUGUAUAUAGGCUGUGAAAGUAAUAUUAAUAUAUGAAUAAGUACAUAUGUACAUUUAAAAAUUGUAUGUACUCAAAAUGCAUAUUUUUUCAGAAGACUGACAAUUACAUUCUAGCACAAAACUUAUUCAAAACCUCUAGUCCAUAAGACAUGAGAAUCAGCAGGUUCCACUUGUGCCCCGUGGGUCUGUAGCCGAUUCAGGGUGGCAACUGCCACAUCUUCCCCUCCUGAUUUAUUUGCUUUCGGUCAGUUUGGCAGCUGCCCCCACAACAGCCUGAGAACGCAAUCUAUACUUCACAGAAAGGCAUUUGGAAUAGAAGAGGGUUUCUGAGGGCAUUUAAAAAAAUAAAUGAAAUAAAGAUGUUGCUAAAAGCUAUCCUCUCAGAUUCACAAGGCUGACAGGAAAACAAAGUUUCAACUUGCAAACAGCAUGAACUGGCCAAGUGGUUUGCUCUGUCAUGGACAGCAGCAAGGCUGGCAUGCAGUCUUGCUGUGCUCACACUAUUGGCCCUGUGAAAACUCAGGCCAGAUCUCCUGUCCAGACAAGAGCCUGGGUUAUUGGGAGAAAAAUCCAUUUUAACUAUUACAUUCAUUUUCAUUUUUCCAGGAAUACAAUCCAAAAUCGCAGGGAGCACUUGGAAACAAUUCUUGGCAACUGUAUUCAGUUGAAGAAACUCAGAAUAUGAAAGCAUUAACAUAGAGUGCAACCAAAACACAAAUAAGAAUCACCCAAGCUGGGCUACAAGAAUAGCUACUGUUUACUCUGAGUGGAUAUUUAUGAAGAGCCGUAGUAAGAAAGAUCUUUUUGAUGAUAACAGAGCGGUGUAUGGCAUGAUAUUAAUUCUGCCUCAUUAGUGAAAUGAAAAACUCUGAGAUAGGUGUGACAAAGAAAAUUAUCACUGUUUCUCAUUCAGUGUUAAUUUCGCUUCUUGAAUUAAAUUCUGCUCAUUCUCUUCGGUGCAUUUAAAAUUAUUCCUUUCUUUUGAUACAUAUAUAUAUCUAUAUCCUAUGGAAUACUACUCAGGCAUAAAAAUGAAUGAAAUCAUGUGUUUUGCAGCAGCAUGGAUGAAUCUGGAGGCCAUCAUCCUAAGUGAAAUAACUCAGAAACAUGUUCUCACUUAUAUCACAAAUAUCUCACUCACAAAUAUCACAUGUUCUCACUUAUAAGUGGGAGCUAAACAGUUAAUACACAUGGACAUAGAGAGUGGAAUAAUAGGCAUUGGAGAACUCCAAAAGAAGGAAAAGUGGGAGCAGGGGUGAGAAAUGAGAAAUUACUUCAUGGGUACAGUAUACAUAUUCAAGUGAUGGGUACACUAAAAGUGCAGAAUUCACCACAAUGCAAUAUAUCCAUGUAACAAAACUGCACUUGUACCCCCCAAAUCUAUACACAUGAAAAAAAAUUGUUCCUUUCCAAUAUCAGCAUGUAUUAGAAUCAGGAAUGGUUUAUACAUUAAACACUAUAAGCACAGCCCUUAUGGAAUGUGAGCCUUUUGAAGAUACAUUAUUUGGAUAGAGCUUGAAUUUUUUUUUUUAAAAAAGAACAAUAAUAGUAACAUGCAUUGAGUGUUUACUUUGUACCAGGUAUGCUAUGAGGGUUUUACAUCCAUUAACUCUCUUGAUCCCCACACCACCCUUUGGGCAAGGUACUUAAAUUAUCAUCAUAUGCAAAACUUGACAUGUAGAGAGAAUAAGGAACUCGCUCAAGGUUAGACUGAUAAUAAGUGACGGAGCUGAUCUUCUAACCCCUGGAGUUGACUUUGCCACCACACUGCCUUCUCACACAUGUUCAGAACUCUCAAUCUUUUCUCAACAGAAGAACCCCAAAGUCUGUUUUGUGUCUUUUUCUAUUCAAACACCCAGACAGAGGGAAGAGCAAAGGUCCUAUGGCCCAGGGAAGUCUGGCUUGAUGGAGAAAAUGAAAGCUGAUAGAUGUGGAUGAAAAAACAAACUGCGGUCAAACUAACAUGAAAAAAGGGCCAACUAGGUAGGACCUUACCGGGUAGGUCCAGAUUUUGAUCUUUAACCUUGGAACAAUGAGAAGCCCAUGAGGCAUUUAGCCAAUUAACGGUUUAUAAAGUUCACUUUGGAAGCAAUUAGAAAAUCAGCAUGAAAUGGAGGGGGCUGAGUGGAUAUCAGGAGAAGGCUGAGGCUAACUCAGCAGCCCAGGAAGAGAAGCAAGGUCUUAGAUUAAGGGACUGGUGAUGUGAGAGUGUUCAGUGAAGCUCAGGCAGCCUCCGCUUCUU